rnacentral:rRNA from 1 species
GAUGAACGCUGGCGGCGUGCCUAAUACAUGCAAGUCGAGCGAACAGAUGAGGAGCUUGCUCCUCUGACGUUAGCGGCGGACGGGUGAGUAACACGUGGAUAACCUACCUAUAAGACUGGGAUAACUUCGGGAAACCGGAGCUAAUACCGGUAAAUAUAUUAAACCGCAUGGUUCAAUAGUGAAAGACGGUUUUGCUGUCACUUAUAGAUGGAUCCGCGCCGCAUUAGCUAGUUGGUAAGGUAACGGCUUACCAAGGCAACGAUGCGUAGCCGACCUGAGAGGGUGAUCGGCCACACUGGAACUGAGACACGGUCCAGACUCCUACGGGAGGCAGCAGUAGGGAAUCUUCCGCAAUGGGCGAAAGCUUGACGGAGCAACGCCGCGUGAGUGAUGAAGGUCUUCGGAUCGUAAAACUCUGUUAUUAGGGAAGAACAAAUGUGUAAGUAACUAUGCACGUCUUGACGGUACCUAAUCAGAAAGCCACGGCUAACUACGUG